rnacentral:rRNA from 1 species
UACGUAGGGUGCGAGCGUUGUCCGGAAUUAUUGGGCGUAAAGAGCUUGUAGGCGGUUUGUCGCGUCUGCUGUGAAAAUCCGGGGCUCAACCCCGGACUUGCAGUGGGUACGGGCAGACUAGAGUGUGGUAGGGGAGACUGGAAUUCCUGGUGUAGCGGUGGAAUGCGCAGAUAUCAGGAGGAACACCGAUGGCGAAGGCAGGUCUCUGGGCAUUAACUGACGCUGAGGAGCGAAAGCAUGGGGAGCGAACAGG